AGGGACCGGAAAAUUGCUUGCUACUUUGCCGGCGAGCGGCGGACGGGUGAGUAAUGUCUGGGAAACUGCCUGAUGGAGGGGGAUAACUACUGGAAACGGUAGCUAAUACCGCAUAACGUCGCAAGACCAAAGAGGGGGACCUUCGGGCCUCUUGCCAUCAGAUGUGCCCAGAUGGGAUUAGCUAGUAGGUGGGGUAACGGCUCACCUAGGCGACGAUCCCUAGCUGGUCUGAGAGGAUGACCAGCCACACUGGAACUGAGACACGGUCCAGACUCCUACGGGAGGCAGCAGUGGGGAAUAUUGCACAAUGGGCGCAAGCCUGAUGCAGCCAUGCCGCGUGUAUGAAGAAGGCCUUCGGGUUGUAAAGUACUUUCAGCGGGGAGGAAGGCGUUGAGGUUAAUAACCUCAGCGAUUGACGUUACCCGCAGAAGAAGCACCGGCUAACUCCGUGCCAGCAGCCGCGGUAAUACAGAGGGUGCAAGCGUUAAUCGGAAUUACUGGGCGUAAAGCGCACGCAGGCGGUCUGUCAAGUCGGAUGUGAAAUCCCCGGGCUCAACCUGGGAACUGCAUUCGAAACUGGCAGGCUAGAGUCUUGUAGAGGGGGGUAGAAUUCCGGGUGUAGCGGUGAAAUGCGUAGAGAUCUGGAGGAAUACCGGUGGCGAAGGCGGCCCCCUGGACAAAGACUGACGCUCAUGUGCGAAAGCGUGGGGAGCAAACAGGAUUAGAUACCCUGGGUAGUCCACGCCGUAAACGAUGUCGACUUGGAGGUUGUGCCCUUGAAGCGUGGCUUCCCGGAGCUAACGCGUUAAGUCGACCGCCUGGGGAGUACGGCCGCAAGGUUAAAACUCAAAUGAAUUGACGGGGGCCCGCACAAGCGGUGGAGCAUGUGGUUUAAUUCGAUGCAACGCGAAGAACCUUACCUACUCUUGACAUCCAGAGAACUUUCCAGAGAUGGAUUGGUGCCUUCGGGAACUCUGAGACAGGUGCUGCAUGGCUGUCGUCAGCUCGUGUUGUGAAAUGUUGGGUUAAGUCCCGCAACGAGCGCAACCCUUAUCCUUUGUUGCCAGCGGUCCGGCCGGGAACUCAAAGGAGACUGCCAGUGAUAAACUGGAGGAAGGUGGGGAUGACGUCAAGUCAUCAUGGCCCUUACGAGUAGGGCUACACACGUGCUACAAUGGCGCAUACAAAGAGAAGCGACCUCGCGAGAGCAAGCGGACCUCAUAAAGUGCGUCGUAGUCCGGAUUGGAGUCUGCAACUCGACUCCAUGAAGUCGGAAUCGCUAGUAAUUCGUAGAUCAGGAUGGUAUACGAGCCGCCC
rnacentral:rRNA from 1 species